rnacentral:rRNA from 1 species
AACGAACGCUGGCGGCAGGCCUAACACAUGCAAGUCGAGCGAGGACUUCGGUCCUAGCGGCGGACGGGUAAGUAACGCGUGGGAACGUGCCCUUUGCUUCGGAAUAGCCCUGGGAAACUGGGAGUAAUACCGGAUGAGCCCUUUGGGGGAAAGAUUUAUCGGCGAAGGAUCGGCCCGCGUUGGAUUAGGUAGUUGGUGGGGUAAUGGCCUACCAAGCCGACGAUCCAUAGCUGGUUUGAGAGGAUGAUCAGCCACACUGGGACUGAGACACGGCCCAGACUCCUACGGGAGGCAGCAGUGGGGAAUCUUAGACAAUGGGGGAAACCCUGAUCGAGCCAUGCCGCGUGAGCGAUGAAGGCCUUAGGGUUGUAAAGCUCUUUCAGCUGGGAAGAUAAUGACGGUACCAGCAGAAGAAGCCCCGGCUAACUCCGUG